AUGAAAGUUAGGAAGCAGAAUACUCUUCAAAAUAUGUGCAUGGAAUUCAAAAAUGUCUUUCACAAAUAUGUCACUUUAUCCGAAAAUGAUAAUUUUAUAGAAUUAGACAUCAAUAAAGGAAAAAUUGGUCUGUCUAAAAAGGAUGUAGACAUUAUAUACGAUAAUAAAUGGUUAAAUGACAAGAUUAUCAACUUUUAUAUGACAGUUCUGAAUAAUAGUCAAGAGAUAUCCUUAAAUACAUGUAUAUCAAGGACAAGAACAUAUUGUUUGCAAACUUUUUUUUACGAAGCUGUUUUGGAUGGAAAAGGUGCCAAAUUUAU